AAGAGCCACAGGAUGAUAUGUUUUACCAAUAGAGACUGUGAGACAGCCAAAUGGUGGUUCUGGGACGGCUGCCAGAAGUCAGUGUCAGGGAUGGAGAGGAGCAAUCACAAGAAAGGGCAAAGUUCCGCUGCCACAGCAUGGUCAAAACCCAAGAGGUUGCAGUUGAAAGAGAAAGUCUGUCCCAUCCGCUCAGCGCAAAAGGCGAAGAAGAGUCUUUCUUUUGCAACACGGGAAAGAAAUGUGAUUUCAAGUUGUGUUCCGGAGCCACAGUGUGAACAUCUACAUCCCGGAUGACACACACCCAGCAAUGGCACUGUCACAGCCUCCCACAGGACAGGACUUGACACCAGCAACUGAUGUGUCCUGGGCUCAGAGACGUUCACCUGUAAAAAGUGGACCUCGGUGAAAUGUGAUGUCAGCAUGCUUGCUCUGAGCCCGUCCAGAGCCUCUGCUAACCUGACACCUGCUGCAGACCAAGAGACCACUCAGAUCCUGUCCUGGGAGCCCUGUCUUCCUUGUCUUCCUUGGCCUUCCACUCCUGAUGCUCCAUAGUGAUCCUCCCAGUUCUGACUGUAUAACAACUACUGGACUAAAUGAACAGUGGCUGUGAUGAAAUUCUUUCCUUCCCUUCAGAUUCCCGUGUUUUCCAGACUCCCUACCAUUUGCCCUGGCCUCCUGGCUUCUACUGUUAUUAUUCAUGGCACGUAUGUAUGCAUCAUAUAUAAUAGAUAUGUAAUAUACAUUUCUUGAUUAAAUAACAUUAACCCAGUUGUCUUCAGAAGAUUAAUGUAUUUACUGUGAGGAUGGAGAGGUUAUUUUUAAUAUGUCUAUUUUAGGUUUUGCUGCCAAAUAUGUAACAUGAAAUCUACCAUUUUAACCAUUUUUACAGCAAAAUAUUUUUGUCUUUUUCUGCUCCUUAUUUUUUCAUGAAGUUUAAACAUAACUGGCCACUGUUGAUUAAAGGUCUGCAGUGACUUGAGGUAGAAAAGGAUUAUUCUACAAAAUGCUACUUCAAAGCUCACCCUUUUCCCAAGUCCAAGAAGUCAUAUAAUCACACCAUCUCUAUUACUUUACCCCUAAAACAUCAUUUUUCUCUCUUCUGUUACAGCUAUAUAGCAAGAUCAAAGAGAACACUUUGUUCCUUGGGCUUCAGCUACUGGCUGGAAAAGUACAGAAAAGCUUUUAACUCGUUCUUAGAAAUCACAAAGUCAUCUAAUUAUCUCACAACCCUCAGCCAGAGGGGAUAGAUUGCCCACACCCCAUUGUCUCACACACACACACACACACACGUACACACACGUACACAUCUUACUAUCUUACUAUCACCUUUUAAAAAUUACAUUGUUAUACCUUUGAAGUUGAAUAUUCUUGUUAGCUUAAUUUAGCUGUAUAAAAGUGUUCAGGGCAUGGGGAUUUGUCCUGGCCCACAUUUUAAAAGAAAGAGUUCUGCUUCGAGGCAGAGCUGGGGUGGCGCCCCUUUGCUCUGGGCAGGGAUAGUGCUGAUUUGUUAUUUCUGUGGAAUGCUGUGCAGGUGAAUGUUAGAGACUGACUCCGGUGGAGAGAAGACAGUCCUGUUUGCUAGAGUUUCUCAGUUUCUGUGGUGUAAAUGCCUCACAGGGGUGCACGUCAAGAUUAUGUCUCUAGACACAGCUGAGAAACUCUGACACACCCUAGCACACCUAUAGAUUGUCCUACCGUCAGACACCGCAGUCAAAAACAACUCCAAGACCAGAUGCAACAGCAAAAUACGAGAGAAGGAAUCACUCAGAAGUGACGCAACUGGGAGUUAUCUAUUGUUUUGCUAUUAUUAUAAUUUAUUUAAAUUUAAGCUUAAAUAACCAAUUUUGUUUUCCUUUGUUUGAGACAGGGUCUCCCUGUAUGCUUCUGGCCAGCCUGGAACUCUCUGUGUAGACUAGUCCAGCUUUGAAAUUAGAUGAUCCUCCUACCUCUGCCUCCCAAGUGCUAGGGAUUAACGGCAUGUACCAACAGCAAAUUUAAUUUUAAUAAUGGCUAUAUUUAAUAACUAGCAUUCAAAAUUCUGAGAAAAAUGUAACACUUGGCUCUUAAAAACCAGUAGGAGCAGCCCAGCCCAUCAAACUGAUAAGCGCAUGCUUAUCAUUUUAUGUUUCCCAGUGACACUUUAUACUUCAGAUGACAUGAGCAUCUCUCCUACCCUUCGUUUUAUUUGCAGUGCUGACAAGUACAGAUAGGUAAUUAGUUUCUAACAUUAAUAAUGAUAUUUAUAAAAAAUGAUAUUUACUCAUCAUAAAUAUUUUUGAGAAGCCAUAAAGAAAUCUCUGAAAGCACGAUUUUGGCUAUAUCCUAAAUCUUGAAAUAAUAUAUAUAACCAUAAAACGUGUAUAAAUGUAAAAGAUAUUGCUAAGAAGAAUACAUUUCUGGCAGUGCAAAUGAAUUUUUUUUUGACACAAGCUAUAAAGCUUUUGCACAAUAAAGGGAAUAAUCAAGAAAGUGAGAGAUAGACCAUUAAACAGAAGAAAAUUAUUCACAAAGUAUUUAUCUGGCAAGGAAUUAAUUUCUGGAGUAUAUAAUUAUAUAAGAAAUUCUAACGAAGACAAGACAAUCGGAUUGAAAACUAGAUGAAGGGGCUAGAGAGAUGUCUCAGCAGUUAAAAGUGCUUGUUGCUCUUGCAGAAGCCAGGGGUUCAGCUCCCAGCACCCACGUGUCAACUCACAACCUGCUGUAGCUCCAGUUCAAGGGACUCGGAUGCUCUCUGCUGGCUCUCCCUGGGAGCCAGAUAUACUCCUAUGCAUGGACAUAGAUGCAGGCAGAACACCCACAGAUAGAGAGUAAAAAUAAAUUAUAAAUUAAUGAAAGUUAGUGAAGGGGCUGGAGAGAUGGCCAGAGGUUAAGAGCAGUUGCUGCUUUUGUGGAGGACUGGAGUUCUGUUCCCAGCACCCUUGUGAUGUCCCACAAUAUGCUGUAACUCCAGUUCCAGGAGCUCUACCACCCUCCUCUGCUAUCCAUGCAUCCUCGGUAUGCAUGUGCUAGUCACAUGCAUGCAAGCAAAAACAGUCUUACACAUCAGAUGAAAAUAAAUAAAUCUUGUAAAAAAAAAAAUAACAAGAAAGGCAUGAAAAGGAUGGGACAGAACAACUGGGAAGGGAGGUGUGUGGCGCCCUGCUGGUUGAAAUCUCCUCAGAGCCAAUUAUUUACACUCAGUCUACGAUGAUCGAUGAUCGACACCCUUUUCUCAGCGGCGUUCUAAAAGUCUCCCCUGAUCUGGGUGACCCCAAGUCUUGUAAGUUAAGAAGAGUCACAUGGCCCUCAGGGCAGAUUACAGGCCCGAUCCUUCCCUGAUAAGGAGAUCCUUCCCUGAUAAGGAAACUGCUCUACCAGGCAUUUAGGAAUUCCUAGAGACACACCAAAGGAUCUUAGUCCAGCAGUGACCUUCAGUUGUACUUGGAGAUACACACACACACACACACACACACACACACACACACACACACAGGAUAAUUAAAUACUGUGUUUUUCUUCUCAUGCUAAGACCAUUAAGUAUCCUUAACUCCCUAACCCCAGUGAAUCAAACACAUUCACCCUUGAAAUCUCUCUCUCUGCCCAGGGUUUAUAUUGCCCUUGAUUUCACAAGGAAAAUAAAGCACGUGCUUUCUCACUUCAAGACUGCCUGAGAUUUGUCAUUUAUCCUCUCCCAGGCUGCAUCUCACCAGGCCUGCCUUCCAGCCUGCUGGACCUGAGCCUCGCCGGGCCUGGGCCUCACGAGACCUGUGUCUUGGCUGCAAGCUGACCAGGCAUGAGCUUUGGCCUCCACCUCUGCUGUGCUUAGACAGCAGCUUGACCACGAGCUGUAACACUUUGGUAUCGCCAUAAGUUUUUGGAACACCCGAGUUUCCAUUGCCACCAGCAACCUCAUGCUACAAGAGCUAAACUGUAACACUCUGUGGAAAACCUUUUCCAUACCCCAGCUUAGCACACUUAGGCCUAAGCCCAGAGAGCUCUAGCUGCUCCUGAGAGAAACAGAACCUCCAUUCUCCAUCUGGAAGCCAAGUUUCAAGCCACCCACCAAAACUCAGGACCCUGCUGAUGGUAGAAUGACAGAGGUGGAAAGAAGGCUAAAAUUUCUAAGUGAAUGAAAAAGCCACUAUUUGAGAAAAAUAGUUACUGUCAUUUUAUAGUGUGUGUGUGAUAGAUAGAUAGAUUUGUGUAUGUGAUGUUUCUCUGUGUAUGAUGUGCCUCUGUGAGUGCUAUAUGUGUAUUUGGUGUGUGUAUAUGUAAUGUGUGUCACUGAGGACAUGUAGGCAUGCAUGUGGAGAUAAAACGUAGCUUCCAGGAGUCAGUUCUCUCUGUCCACUUUGGUUCCAGGGAUCAGUCUCAGCUUGUCAGACUUGUCUAAUAAACGCUCUUACCUCUGAGCCAGCUCACCAGCUCCAGGGGAUCUGAUGCCCUGCUCUUGCUAUUCCUGGGCUCCAGGUAUGUUUGUGGUGCACUGUCAUAAAGACAUUGAAGCAAAGCAUUCAUUUUUAAAUGGCAUCCUGCAAGCUCAAUUGGUACAGAGGAAGACUCUAAAGUUAAUUAGCUAAUAAUUAAUUUUUUAAAGGCAGAUCCUCCCUUAUUACUGAGAAGCACUCGAGACGGGACUCUUUUCUUGUCCUCCCUUUUCUUCCCAAAGGGCUUGAUGGAAAUAAGGCAGUUUCAACUGCUGUAACCCCAGUAUAUAUUCCUCCCCAACCCCCGAAAAAAACCAACAGCGACAGUGUGGGGAAUUUGGGCACAAAUCAACAACCCUUUGUAUUCUGCUGUCUGCUGUGUGAGAAUAAAAAGAUGUACGCCACGGAGAACCUUUACAGCACCCUAGGACCACAAGGGGAAGAGGACACUAUGGGUGGAAGGCUGAUUAGGCCUUCAGUCUUUGAUGGCUUCUUACUGUUGUUUCGUCUUUUGUUUGUUUGUUGAGAGAGGGUUAUUUUUUUGUUGGGGGGGUCUUUGUUUGUUUGUUUUUGUUUUGACAAUCAGUUCCUGAUGGUUUAGGAGUAGGUUGGUUUUCCCUUUCAAUGCAUCACAUUUCAUUUACAGUUGCUCCGUACAGAGGUAAAGCUUUCCGUUACUCCUGCACACACGUAUCUCCCCAGCAAAGCUCCACUCAGGUGGGAAUUGCAUUACUGUUUACUGGUACACAACCGCCAACUCUCAUGUGGAGUUCCCCAACCUUUUCCUGGGUAGAGCAACUUAUGAAAUAGUUCAUGCUUUAGAAAAAAAACAUAAGUAAAUAUAAACUAAUGAAUUUCUGGCCUAACCACCAUACCAGAUAGGAGGCCAGUGUCUACACAAGCUAAAUAUCUCUCCACUGGCUUCUUCUUUUUUCUCUCCUCUGCUCUCAUCUUACAUUUGUUUUCAUUUCCUAUUUAUUCACCUUCCUCCUACCAGCAGGCUUGGGCUGGAUGAGGAUGAGGCGAGUAUAUACUAUUACAGUACCUUGUGGGGAAAUGUAUCCUUCCUACACAGUUGUGUGCUCAAUCCUAGACUAUGUGUGUUGAAAACCACAUGUCUGUUAUUUAGGGGGCUAGAGAUAAAAACCAUUCUGUCUUAUUAAACUGCAGUGAGCUUUCCAUACAUUCAUAGGCACAUUCUUGGGCUCCAUCACUAAGUCUUCAUACCAGAAAAUAAUCCCCAUGUGAAUAUUUGUUAACUAGUUCUCUGCUCUUUUCUCCAGGAGAAUUGAACUUCUCUGCUCCAUAUCCCAAAAGUCUGAUACAGAAGUAGACUUCUGAGCAUCAUUCAACUUGACCUUAUUGGCUUUUCACAGGCAAAUAUCUCUCAGAACAGCUUGUAGACAAUGUUCAAAUCAAAAUGUGUUUUGAUUUGUGUUUCUCUCUGUCCAUCUGUCCUCCCACUUUUCAUCUCAAAAGAUUGUAUUCUCCCUGUUGACUGUACAUUCCCCCAAUUGCCUUUUGAAAGAAAACAAGCUCCUUGCAGCUUUUCAAAGGUCCCAUGAAGUGCCUGGUCUGCACAUUACAAGCAUUGCCUGGGAGCAUUCACUUAAUACUUCCGAGGCAUGACUGAGAGUGAAAUCUCCACGGGCUCCCGUCAAUACAGGCUUAAUGUCCCUUAUGAUCUUGAAGAAGUCGCUCCAAGGAAAGAGGAGACUCACCUCUCUUCUGCCCUAGAAAAGAAGAAUUUUGUUAGAAUGUAGUGAAACUCUUACAAUAACGUUGGAGCUUGUGACACUCAAGGAUUGAAUUUACCUCAUUUGCAUACUUGCUUCUAGGGAGAUCUAUUGUGGGUUGGCCUGAAUAUGUCACUUUGGAAAGCUUGUGUCUAAUGAUCAGACAUGAAAAGGUGAGAAGCUGUCAUCAGAAAGAACAUUUGCUCACCCAUUGCCUUCCCAUAGGAUGUGAAUGUGCUCAAAAUAUAGUACAGAAACAGAGGAACUAUUUUGAAACAGAGGCAAAAACAUUUUGACUCAUAAAGGACUAUCUUCAAUGUUAGAGAAUGUUUUCAACAAAAAGAAUUGCCUCCUCUUUUUUUUUUUUUUUUUUUU